rnacentral:rRNA from 1 species
CACGAACCGUACGACCGUUAUUCGGAAUUACUGGGCUUAAAGGGUUUGUAGGCGGCCAUGUAAGUCAGGUGUGAAAUCCCUCGGCUCAACCGAGGAACGGCGCUUGAUACUGCAUGGCUUGGGGGAGACAGGGGUAAGCGGAACUGAUGGUGGAGCGGUGAAAUGCGUUGAUAUCAUCAGGAACACCGGUGGCGAAAGCGGCUUACUGGGUCUCUUCUGACGCUGAGGAACGAAAGCUAGGGUAGCGAACGGG